rnacentral:tRNA from 1 species
GCCCCCGUAGCUCAGUGGAUUAGAGCAUCUGUCUUCGGAACAGAGGGUCGGCGGUUCGAGUCCGUCCGGGGGUACCA